rnacentral:rRNA from 1 species
AGGGUUUGAUUAUGGCUCAGGAUGAACGCUGGCGGCGUGCCUAACACAUGCAAGUCGAGCGAGAAGUCUGUGACGGAUUCUUCGGAUGACGGAUCAGAUGGAAAGCGGCGGACGGGUGAGUAACGCGUAGGUAACCUGCCCCAUACAGAGGGAUAGCCACUGGAAACGGUGAUUAAUACCUCAUGACACUUUUCUUUCGCAUGGAAGAGAAGUCAAAGAUUUAUCGGUAUGGGAUGGACCUGCGUCUGAUUAGCUGGUUGGUGGGGUAACGGCCUACCAAGGCGACGAUCAGUAGCCGACCUGAGAGGGUGAUCGGCCACAUUGGAACUGAGACACGGUCCAA